CCAGCAGUUCAGCGCUGUGCUUUCAUAAGUUUGGGAUUUCGCUCGGCAAAAUGCCAGCAGUUGCAGCAAAUCAGACGGAUGUGCAUGAACUAGCUGCUCCGCAAAUCAAAGGUCACGACAUGAAAUCCAAAAGUGGUGCCAAAUCAAAGCAGGACAGUUGGAACAGGCUCCGCGAGCUGCUCCUGGCGGUCAGCGUUUCGGCAUUUUUAGACCGAUGUCUGGAGGAGAAAUAUGGGAUUCCAAAGCCGCGGCGGUGAUCGGCCGGUGAUCGGCCGGUGAUCGGAGAGAAUCGCGACACUCGUACAAAUGCGGAAAUGUAUUUUGCACACAAGAUCCCGAGAAUAAAAGGGUUCAGUGGUAAACGAGGAGAGAGAGAGAGAGAGAGAGAGGGAGGGACAUUGUCUCGAACACCCGAGUAAAGGUCAGUGGGGAAAUGGUUUGAAGAGGAGGGUCGAGGAACAGGAAAGAGCGAGGUCCCCACAGCGUGUUAGGGAGACUGAGGGAGCAGAGGGCAGUGAUCGGGCAGAAUCUAUACUGAAAUAUACUCAAAUUUGCUGCCAGGAUAAUCAAGGACACGACCCACCCAGCCAACACACUUUUCGUCCCUCUUCCCUCCGGGAGAAGGCUCAGGAAUUUGAAAACUCCUAUGGCCAGAUUUGGGAACAGCUUCUUUCCAACUCUGAUAAAACUGCUGAACGGAUCCUGACCCGGAUCUGGGCUGUACCCUCCAAAUAUCCGGACAUGCAUUUCGUUUUUUUUUUGAACUACCUUACUUUCCAUUUUUCUAAUUUUUCUAUUUAUGAUUUAUAAUUUAAGAUUUUAAUACUUACAAUCGAUUUGUAAUCCAGGGAGCGGGAAGCGCAGAAUUAAAUAUCGCUAUGAUGAUUGUACGUUGUAGUAUCAAUGGUUUGCCGACAAUAAACUAUAAAGUAUAAAGUAAAUAUACUGAAAUAAGACUGAAAUACUUCAGCCCACAGGAGCUGUUUCUAUCUCCAAGUUCUGGGUAGUCACCUCUGGGGAUCAGAAGUAAGCGUUUGGCCAGAUUAGGGAUUUUGUUUGGGGGGGGGGGGUGCGAGUGAAAACGCAGCGUCUCGGGGUCUGUGUGUUGGUUAACUUCCAGCAUCGGAGAGUGGAGCACCUUUCUGACACCGGACUGCUUGAGUCUGUUUUACUUGCUUUCUCUCCAGAUGCCAGCCUCUUUGUUCGCUGGUAUACGACUAUGUUAAAUACAAACUCAAAGUAAAUGUAUUACCGAAGUACAUAUGUUACCUUGAAAUUCAGUUGCUUGCAAUCACAGCAAAAAAAAAAAAUCCAUUCUUAAGCCAGUUUCAAACUGCCGUUUGUUUUGAUAUGUACAGAACGUACACCUAAAGGGCAGACAGCAGACAUUUAUCACCAAAUCCUCUGCAUUUCCACGUAUUGAACUAUUAGUGGACUAAUCGUUUCCUCCUCAUAACUUUGUUCUACCUCAAUGUAUUGUAUAAAGAAUCGUUCUGUAUAUUACUCAAACAAUAUUAAACAAUAUAUUACUCAA